CAACAGGCUUUUUUAGAAGCCAUCCCUAAAGCAUUCUCUAAGGUUAU
rfam:Monodelphis domestica chromosome 4, whole genome shotgun sequence.